rnacentral:rRNA from 1 species
CCCUUAGAUGUUCUGGGCCGCACGCGCGCUACACUGAAGGGAUCAGCGUGUUUUCCCUUCCCGAGAGGGACGGGUAACCCGCUGAACCCCCUUCGUGGUAGGGAUCGGAGCUUGCAAUUGUUCUCCGUGAACCAGGAAUUCCCAGUAAGCGCAGGUCAUAAGCUUGCGUUGAUUACGUCCCUGCCCUUUGUACACACCGCCCGUCGCUACUACCGAUUGAACGUUUUAGUGAGGUAUUUGGACUGGGCCUUGGGAGGUUUCGGCCUCCCUUGUUGCUCGGAAAGACUCCCAAACUUGAGCGUUUAGAGGAAGUAAAAGUCGUAACA